CUUGGUUAUAGAAACCUCCCUUUGGCUUGCAGGUAUAAGCGAUAUCUACCAGUAAUAGUAGAAAGAAAUGAUCACACAACCAGAAUGGCAUUGUGUGAAGUUGCAGUAGCAUUUGUAAAUACUUCUUAAUGUACUGGGCUGAUCUGUGCUAUUGGAAUAGAUACCAGAACAAACACAAGUGUUUCUGAGACUCCAAGAAUUUCAACAGAGACGCGUAGAAAGAAACAAAAUUCAGCUCUGCUGAACAGAAAGCAUGUUUGGAGCCCCAGAGGCAAGUGAUACGCAGGAUAGCAGUACAAAAAGCCCUGCUUGAAUAUGAUGAUGCGUAAUAGACUUGGGACUAAAUGGAGGGAAAAAAACAUAUGGGAUUGCUUCUACUUGGCUAGCCAUCUUCUCUACAUUCACUGUGACAUAAGUUUCCAGACUCUCAAGGAAGCACUAGCGUUUCUCAUGUACUAUCAUCUGCCUCGGACCUAUUUGACACACUCCACUAAGGUAUUUGAUCUCAGCAAAGUAGUGUUGCCAAAGGCGACAGAUACUUUAUGAGUUCUAAAUUCAAGAUUAUCGCUAGUCAUUGCACUAAAACAGAAAGCAGCUAUUAAGUUUUCUAUAUCUUAAUACUGUGUUUGAAGUCAUAUGCUGAUACCCUUGGAAUGGUGUCAGAUUGGAUCUCCUAGACCCUCAGCCACAAGUCUAUUCCAUUAGACAGCUUCUCCACAGCUAUUAGUACGUUUCAUGUACUGUAGAUGGUGUUCUGUAUCUAUAUGCCUACCUUGGGCUAUUGACUCAUAGCGUUUUUCUGUUUGUGACCUAAUGGUUUAUUUUAGUUCUGCUUGCACUACUGUUGCGAUGGCUGGUUUUUCAAAAUGCUUACAGAAAAAUGCAAAUCUAUUCAGCUGUUUUAAAAAAAAGUCAUAAACUCAUUAUAAUUCAUUGUGAUUUCCACUUAGAUUUUGCUGAGCUGAUUGACUUCAUAGAGGCAGAAGAAACCCUGAAGGGAAAAACCUGUAACAGCUGCUAUGGAAAUGAUGGGUGCCUUAUACCUCAUAAAGGUGGAGCAACCAUUUUUUGAAAAGGUUUAAUGCCUUCAUAGUUUACAGUUUCCUAGGGAGAAAACCCCUGGGGUAGCGAUGAGCCUCGUCUUUUGUCCUAUGACAUUCUAAUUAACAGGCGCAUAACUAAUGGAGGGUUAAGAUGGGCCCCAGCCAUGAACGACGUGUGCCCCCGGCAGGUUGGGGGGCAUGGUAGGUGCGUGGCGGCGAAGGUGGGAGUGCGGGGGCGGUAAGCGGUGGAGCUUCUGCAAAUGCCGCCAGCACUGACGGCGGUGGGGGGGGCAUGUCGGUGACAACCCGCACACACCACCAGUAGCAUCGGCGGCAGCCAGCGGGGAUUGUGGGCUGCCUGCAGACACCGCCAGUGGUGUCAGUGGCGUGGUGGUGAACAGCGACUGCUCACAGGUGCCGCCAACAAUGUCGGUGGCACCUUUUUGUAGGGGGUGCACUGCCAUGCUCAGGGGGUGCACAUGCACCCACAUGCACUCACUACACAUCACCCCUGGACCCAGCCCUGGAUGCUGACUUGGAUGGCUGAGUGCCCCAGCACUGCCACUACUUAAGUACAAAACUACCCAGUUACACCUAUCCUAGCUUGGUUUAAAAGCAUAAACACAUUUUAUAUAAAUCACUAUUUCCUUUCUCUUUCUUUUGUUUUGCUGACUUAAGUUGAAAGCCUGAUAAAAUGCCAACUGAACACAAAUGUUAUACAAAGGCUGGCUCCUGCUGCAACUGAAAAAGGAGCAGCAACAGAGCAUCCUGCACUGGGAACCAGAGGGAGAGAGAAGUAUUUAUCUGUAUUUGUCGGAAGUCAAGCAGAAGGCAGGGUAGGUUUGAACCUUAUAGACUAACUAAAUUUGUGAGCUGGAGUUCACUUCAUCAGAUGCUGUGAAAGGACAUGGACAGACCAGUGUAUAAAAUGGACAGAUGAUUUUGGAGGAGACAGAAGAGAGAGAACCUUUCUGUUUUUGCAGACCUGGCACCCUGCCUCAGUGACCUGUCCCCUGAUUCUGGACAAAAAUCCUUUUUUUAUUAUGAGAUGUGGAGAAUAAAGGAGAUGUCUUUGGCA
ensembl:lncRNA